GGAAAAGCUCAACUUUGAAAUCUGGUACUUUCAGUAUCCGAAUUGUAGUCUCAAGAAGUGUUUUCUGUGCCGGUCCAUGUAUGAGUCUGUUGGAACACAGCGUCAUAGAGGGUGACAACCCCGUUCAUGACAUGGAUCCCGGUGCUUUGUGAUACACUCUCGAAGAGUCGAGUUGUUUGGGAAUGCAGCUCAAAUUGGGUGGUAAAUUCCAUCUAAAGCUAAAUAUUGGCGAGAGACCGAUAGCAAACAAGUACCGUGAGGGAAAGAUGAAAAGCACUUUGGAAAGAGAGUUAACAGUACGUGAAAUUGUUGAAAGGGAAACGAUUGAAGUCAGACGUGCGUGAUGCGGUUCAGCUCUAGUUCGCUAGAGUGUACUCCGUAUCUUUGCAGGCCAGCAUCGGUUUUGUUAGUCGGAUAAAGGUUUGAGAAAUGUGGCAUCUUCGGAUGUGUUAUAGUCUCAGACUGAAUACGAUUGAUGGGACCGAGGAACGCAGCGCGCCGCAAGGCAAAGGUUCCGACC
rnacentral:rRNA from 1 species